GUGACCAUAUCAUAUAACACUGCUUCUCAUAUGAUCACCAAAGUUAAGCAAUGUCAAGCCUGGUCAGUAUCUAGAUGGGUGAUCAUUUGGGAAUAUCAGGUGCUGUAAG